AUUGAACGCUGGCGGCAGGCCUAACACAUGCAAGUCGAGCGGAUGAAGGGAGCUUGCUCCUGGAUUCAGCGGCGGACGGGUGAGUAAUGCCUAGGAAUCUGCCUGGUAGUGGGGGAUAACGUCCUGAAACGGGCGCUAAUACUGCAUACGUCCUGCGGGAGAAAGUGGGGGAUCUUCGGACCUCACGCUAUCAGAUGAGCCUAGGUCGGAGUAGUUAGUUGGUGGGGUAAAGGCCUACCAAGGCGACGAUCCGUAACUGGUCUGAGAGCAUGAUCAGUCACACGAGAACUGAGACACGGUCAAGACGCCUACGAGAGGCAGCAGUGGGGUAUAGGGGGCAGUGGGCGAAAGCCUGAUCCAGCCAGGCGGAGUGUGUGAAGAAAAUGUUCGGAGUGUAAAGCACUUUAAGUGGGGAGGAAGGGCAGUAAGUUAAUACCUUGCUGGUUUGACGUUACCAACUGAAGAAGCACCGGCUAACUACGUG
rnacentral:rRNA from 1 species